GAUGAACGCUGGCGGCGUGCUUAAUACAUGCAAGUCGAGCGAACGGACGAGACUCUUGUUUCUCUGAUGUUUGCGGCGGACGUGUGUGUCACACGUGUAUACUCUACUUAUCUUACUGGGAUAAUUUCGGGAAACCGGCUCUUAUCCCGUAUGAUAUUUUGCACCGCAUUGUUCAAUAGUGAAAUACGGCCUUUCUGUCUCUUAUCGCUGCUUCCGCGCUGCAUUAUCUGGUUGGUAAGGUAACGGCUUACCAAGGCAACGAUGCCUAGCCGACCGGAGAGGGUGAUAGGCCACACGGGAACGGAGACACGGUCAAGACUCCUAAGGGAGGCAGCAGUAGGGAAUCUUACGCAAUGGGCGAAAGCCUGACGGAGCAAGGCGGCGUGAGAGAUGAAGAUCUUCGGAUCGGAAAAAUCUGUUAUUAGUGAAGAACAUAUGUGUAAGUAACUGUGCACAGCGUGACGGUACCUAAUCAGAAAGCAACGGCUAACUACGUG
rnacentral:rRNA from 1 species